UCUCAAUUUUAUUUAUAGUGAAACUGAGCAACAAAGAGGUUAAGUGACUUGCUUAACUAAAGUCACACAGGGAGGAAGCAUCUCAGGCAGGAUUUGAGCUCAAUUCUUUUGAGUCCAUUGUGCCAUGUAACUCCAUCAUGGAAAGGAAUGGAGACUAAGAAAGCAGUAAUGGAAAGGGGGAUGUAAAGUGGCUGAGUUUCUAUUGGAUGAAUAAUGAGAAGAAGAAUAGAGUAAUGCUGGGAAGGUAGAUUAGGGUUGAAAUAUUCAGGACCAUCAAUAAUUUAUUGAUACUUUAUACCUUAUUUAAUAGAUACUACGGAGCUAGAGAAGACUUUGAGUAGAUGGAUGAUUGAGUGAUUGAUGUAAGAAGAGCAAUGCAGGAAGAUUAUGUGAAGGAUGAGCUGGAGGGCAGAGUAUAUUUACAACUGGAAAAGAAGAAACAGCAAAAUUGGAGGCAAAAGAAUCAGUGAAGGGGUUGUUCCAAGGUGGAAGGUGUUGCAAUGUUGGAAGGUGAAAAAUGGUUAAAAUGGAGGGGCCUAAAGUGAAGGAUAUAAUCUUGGUAAGGAAAAGAGGUGGAGUAGAUUGAAAGUGAGGGACAAGGAAGUUACAAAAGAUGAGCCUAAGGAGAAGUAUUCCUAGAAGUGCAGGAACAAAAAGGAGAAGGGCCAUGUUUUUGGAUAAGGGAAACUUUGCUAUGUGGGAAAAAUCAGUGGGAGUGUUAAACAGAAAGCUGAAAACAGAACUGAAAAUGUAGGGAGAGAUUGGGGACUAAAUUUACAUUUGAGAGUCUUUGGCAUAGAGAUGAUGACUGAAACUGAGGGAAUGGAAGUUACUUCCAAGGUAGAUAGUAUAUUAUAUAUAAAGAGAAGAAGAAUAAGAAGGAAGAAGAAGAAAAAAGAAGAAGAAGAAAGAAGGAGAAGGAGGAGGAGGAGGAGAAAACAAACAUUCAUUAAGUAACCUACCCUUUACAAGGCUUGAUCCUAAACACUUUACAAAGGAUUAGGAGUCAACAAAAAAGAGGAAUGGUCAGAAAGGUAGAAGGAGAAUCAUGAAAUUUGUGUCACAGAACUUAUGAAGAAGCCCAAUUCAUUAGAAUCUCCUUGAGAGUAGUCAUAAAAAUCUAGGUUCCAUACAAGUGUUGACAUUCCUUUCCCCAACAUGUCAUGUCACAAUGGGCCACAACAUGUCAGGCAACACCCACCCCAUCGCUUGUGUCAUGACAAAUCCAUUUCCCAAAGGAGAGCAAGCAUCCUGUUUUUAAGGAAGGAAGAGCAACGACAAUAUGGUCAUUCCAAUUUGAUCUGUCUUUCAUUCUCUCAAUUUGGUUCAUAAUAGGCAAAAAGGCACCUUCAAAAAAUGCCUCUUUCAUUUAUAACUGAAGCCAACUGUGAACAGCACGAGUAGUUGGGGUCAUUUGGAUUAUCCCAGGAAACAUCUGUGCACGUUUUUCCAGGACUAAGCUGAUCAGAUCUACUGUGAAAUUAGCAUAUGGUUAUGAUGGCUUUGCCCUUCAGAUAAAUCAGGACAAUGACCUGGCCUCAACUCAGCUCGGCUUAAUUUGGACUCAACACAACAGUGCAAUUAAACUCAAUCCAGUCAUCCGCUCUUUAUAAAACCUCAGGCUACUCAUGGAAGCUACAAAAAUUGGUGUAACAUAGGCCUUGUCUUCAUAGAGCUUACUCUCAGAUGAGUGGGAAGGCCAUGGGCCCAAAGAAUUCAUCGGCUACAUCCUGAGUCAAUCCAUUUCAAUGGAGCAUACCCCAUCACAUUCUAACUUCAAUAAAAGUUAUUUCACAGAAUAUAGAAGUAAGAUUUAGGUGGGACCCCGACAGUCAUCUUGUCCCAUCCAUCCAUGAAAUAAAUCCUCAUUGUAACAUA